GAUGAACGCUGGCGGCGUGCCUAAUACAUGCAAGUCGAGCGAACAGACGAGGAGCUUGCUCCUCUGAUGUUAGCGGCGGACGGGUGAGUAACACGUGGAUAACCUACCUAUAAGACUGGGAUAACUUCGGGAAACCGGAGCUAAUACCGGAUAACAUGUUGAACCGCAUGGUUCAACAGUGAAAGACGGUCUUGCUGUCACUUAUAGAUGGAUCCGCGCCGCAUUAGCUAGUUGGUAAGGUAACGGCUUACCAAGGCAACGAUGCGUAGCCGACCUGAGAGGGUGAUCGGCCACACUGGAACUGAGACACGGUCCAGACUCCUACGGGAGGCAGCAGUAGGGAAUCUUCCGCAAUGGGCGAAAGCCUGACGGAGCAACGCCGCGUGAGUGAAGAAGGGCUUCGGAUCGUAAAACUCUGUUAUUAGGGAAGAACAAAUGUGUAAGUAACUAUGCACGUCUUGACGGUACCUAAUCAGAAAGCCACGGCUAACUACGUGC
rnacentral:rRNA from 1 species